UACGUAGGCGGAAAAUUAAGUCAGUAGUGAAAUCCUGCAGCUUAACUGUAGAACUGUUAUUGAUACUGGUUUUCUUGAAUAUAGUUGAGGUAGGCGGAAUGUGUAAUGUAGCGGUGAAAUGCUUAGAUAUUACACAGAACACCGAUUGCGAAGGCAGCUUACUAAGUUAUGAUUGACGCUGAGGUACGAAAGCGUGGGGAGCGAACAGGAUUAGAUACCCUGGUAGUCC
rnacentral:rRNA from 1 species